rnacentral:lncRNA from 1 species
UCAGAUUACUAUGUUUGUCGCACGCAGCGACUGUCACUGAAACCCUUGCUGACCACCAGGUUCUUUGCGUACCAUAUUUUUCCCAGCGCUACACCUGUCAUCUACGCAUCCACCUCUGAAAAGACUGGUAGCAGUAGAAUGCAGUUAUGCUGUGCUGAGUUUCCCUCGGAACUGAAUGUCUAUCAGUCGCUCCUUGCUGAUCAACCUUAUUUCUGCAGCGUGCAUUUUUCAGAACUGUGGGCUUG